GAUGAACGCUAGCGGCAGGCCUAAUACAUGCAAGUCGAGGGAGAAUGCUGGAUUCGUCUGACAUGAAACCGGCGCACGGGUGCGUAACACGUAUGCAACCUACCUUUAACUGGGGUAUAGCUCAGAGAAAUCUGAAUUAAUCCCCCAUAAGACUACGACAUGGCAUCAUGAUGUAGUUAAAGCUCCGGCGGUUAAGGAUGGGCAUGCGGUACAUUAGCUAGUUGGUGAGGUAAUGGCUCACCAAGGCUACGAUGUAUAGGGGGUCUGAGAGGAUGAUCCCCCACACUGGUACUGAGACACGGACCAGACUCCUACGGGAGGCAGCAGCAGGGAAUAUUGGUCAAUGGACGCAAGUCUGAACCAGCCAUGCCGCGUGAAGGAUGAAGGCCCUAUGGGUCGUAAACUUCUUUUAUUAGGGAAGAAAAAACGGGAUGCGUCCUGUACUGACGGUACUUAAUGAAUAAGGAUCGGCUAACUUCGUGCCAGCCGCCGCAGUAA
rnacentral:rRNA from 1 species